ACACGUGGGUGACCUGCCCUGGUGUGGGGGACAACGUACCGAAAGGUGCGCUAAUCCCGCAUACGCUCCUACGGGAGGAAAGCAGCGAUGCGCACCAGGAGGGGCCUGCGGCCCAUCAGGUGGUUGGUGAGGUAACGGCUCACCAAGCCGAUGACGGGUCCCUGGUCUGAGAGGACGACCAGGCAGACUGGGACUGAGACACGGCCCAGACUCCUACGGGAGGCAGCAGCAAGGGAUUUUCCGCAAUGGGCGCAAGCCUGACGGAGCAACGCCGCGUGCCGGAGGACGGCCUUCGGGUUGUAAACGGCUUUUAUCGGGGAAGAAACGGACGGUACCCGAGGAAUAAGCCCCGGCUAACUCCGUGCCAGCAGCCGCGGUAAUGCGGAGGGGGCAAGCGUUGUCCGGACUUACUGGGCGUAAAGCGUGCGUAGGCGGCAGGGUGCGUCGGUGCUGAAAGCGCCCCGCUUAACGGGGCGAGGGGUACCGAUACGACCCCGCUCGAGGCAGUCAGAGGUUGGUAGAAUUCCGGGUGUAGUUGUGAAAUGCGUAGAUACCCGGAGGAAUGCCGGUGGCGAAAGCGACCAACUGGGGCUGGCCUGACGCUGAGGCACGAAAGCGUGGGGAGCGAACCGGAUUAGAUACCCGGGUAGUCCACGCCGUAAACGAUGUCGGCUUGGUGUUCGGCAGUAUGAAAGUGCUGCUGAGUGCCGAAGCUCACGCGCUAAGCCGACCGCCUGGGGACUACGAGCGCAAGCUUAAAACUCAAAGGAAUUGACGGGGGCCCGCACAAGCAGCGGAGCGUGUGGUUUAAUUCGACGCAACGCGAAGAACCUUACCCAGGUUUGACAUGUGGCUGCAAGCGCACAGAAAUGUGUGACCUUCGAGGGUGCCACACAGGUGCUGCAUGGCUGUCGUCAGCUCGUGU
rnacentral:rRNA from 1 species